rnacentral:rRNA from 1 species
UGAGUAACCUGCCCUUAACUCUGGGAUAAGCCUGGGAAACUGGGUCUAAUACCGGAUAUGACUCCUCAUCGCAUGGUGGGGGGUGGAAAGCUUUAUUGUGGUUUUGGAUGGACUCGCGGCCUAUCAGCUUGUUGGUGAGGUAAUGGCUCACCAAGGCGACGACGGGUAGCCGGCCUGAGAGGGUGACCCGGCCACACUGGGACUGAGACACGGCCCAGACCUCCGUACGGGGAGGCAG